rnacentral:rRNA from 1 species
AACGAACGCUGGCGGCAGGCUUAACACAUGCAAGUCGAACGCGUGCAGCAAUGCACGAGUGGCGCACGGGUGAGUAACGCGUGGAUAUCUGCCUUUUGGUUCGGAAUAACCCCGGGAACUGGGGCUAAUACCGGAUGGUUCCUGCGGGAUAAAGAUUUAUCGCCAAAAGAUGAGUCCGCGUACGAUUAGCUAGUUGGUGAGGUAAUGGCUCACCAAGGCGACGAUCGUUAGCUGGUCUGAGAGGACGAUCAGCCACACUGGGACUGAGACACGGCCCAGACUCCUACGGGAGGCAGCAGUGGGGAAUAUUGGACAAUGGGGGCAACCCUGAUCCAGCCAUGCCGCGUGAGUGAAGAAGGCCCUCGGGUUGUAAAGCUCUUUUGUCCGGAAAGAAAAGCAUCUGGUUAAUACCCGGGUGUUCUGACGGUACCGGAAGAAUAAGCACCGGCUAACUUCGUG